rnacentral:rRNA from 1 species
GCAUAUCAAUAAGCGGAGGAAAAGAAACUAACAAGGAUUCCCCUAGUAACGGGCGAGUGAAGAGGGAAGAGCCCAAGUUUGAAAGCUGGCAUUUGUAUUCAGAUGUCUGCAUUGUAAACUCAAGAAGUGUUUUCUGCACCGGAUCAAAUUCAAGUCCCUUGGAAUAGGGCAUCAUAGAGGGUGAAAGUCCCGUGCUUGAUUUGAAACCCCCGGGGCUUUGUGAUACACUUUCCAAGAGUCGAGUUGUUUGGGAAUGCAGCUCAAAAUGGGUGGUAAAUGCCAUCUAAGGCUAAAUAUUGAGGAGAGACCGAUAGUGAACAAGUACCGUGAGGGAAAGAUGAAAAGAACUUUGGAAAGAGAGUUAAACAGUACGUGAAAUUGCCGGAAGGGAAGGGUAGGAAGUCAGACAUGCCUUUGCAGAUUCAGCCUUGUGCUUUAUUGGACUUGGUGCAUUUUUGUAUUGGCUUGCUAGCAUCGGUUUGUAUUGACAGAUAUAGGCUUAGGGAAUGUGGCUUAGCUUUCGGGCAAAGUGUUAUAGCCCUUUGCUGAGUAUGACAAUAUAGACCGAGGAUUGCAGCGCACCCAUUUUAGGGCGGGCCUUUCGGGGCACCUUUGCGCUUAGG